rnacentral:rRNA from 1 species
AGCAGCCGCGGUAAUUCCAGCUCCAAUAGCGUAUAUUAAAGUUGCUGCAGUUAAAAAGCUCGUAGUUGAAUUUCGGGAUCGAUAUAUCGGUCGUGCCUCGGUACGUACUGGUAUUUUCGGUUUCUCCCUUCUGACGAACCUUGAUGUCAUUAAUUUGGUGUCUUGGGGAAUCAGGACUGUUACUUUGAAAAAAUUAGAGUGUUUAAAGCAGGCUCACGCUUGAAUACAUUAGCAUGGAAUAAUGAAAUAGGACGUUUGAUUCUAUUUUGUUGGUUUCUAGGAUCGACGUAAUGAUUAAUAGGGAUAGUUGGGGGCAUUAGUAUUCAAUUGUCAGAGGUGAAAUUCUUGGAUUUAUUGAAGACUAACUACUGCGAAAGCAUUUGCCAAGGAUGUUUUCAUUAAUCAAGAACGAAAGUUAGGGGAUCGAAGACGAUCAGAUACCGUCGUAGUCUUAAUCAUAAACUAUACCGACUAGGGAUCGGAUGAUGUAAUUUUUAAUGACUCAUUCGGCGCCUUACGG